CCUACGGGCGGCUGCAGUGGGGAAUCUUCCGCAAUGGGGGAAACCCUGAUGGUGCGACGCCGCGUGGGGGAAUGAAGGUCUUCGGAUUGUAAACCCCUGUCAUGUGGGAGCAAAUUAAAAAGAUAGUACCACAAGAGGAAGAGACGGCUAACUCUGUGCCAGCAGCCGCGGUAAUACAGAGGUCUCAAGCGUUGUUCGGAAUCACUGGGCGUAAGGCGUGCGUAGGCUGUUUCGUAAGUCGUGUGUGAAAGGCGCGGGCUCAACCCGCGGACGGCACAUGAUACUGCGAGACUAGAGUAAUGGAGGGGGAACCGGAAUUCUCGGUGUAGCAGUGAAAUGCGUAGAUAUCGAGAGGAACACUCGUGGCGAAGGCGGGUUCCUGGACAUUAACUGACGCUGAGGCACGAAGGCCAGGGGAGCGAAAGGGAUUAGAUACCCGUGUAGUC
rnacentral:rRNA from 1 species